CUAGUGGCAGAGUGAGGGGAUGACUGGUGACAGAGUGAGGGAGGUGGUGACUAGUGACAAAGUGAGGGAGGUGGUGACUGUCACUAGUCACCACCUCCCUCCCUCUGUCCCUAGUCACUCCUCCCUCUGUCACUAGUCACCCCCACCCUCUCUGUGUCACUAGUCACCCCCUCCCUCUCUAUGACACUAAUCACCCCCUCCCUCACUCUGUCACUAG